GUGAGGAAUAUUGGUCAAUGGCCGUAAGGCUGAACCAGCCAAGUAGCGUGCAGGAUGACGGCCCUAUGGGUUGUAAACUGCUUUUAAACGGGGAUAAAGUGAGCCACGUGUGGUUUAUUGCAGGUACCGUUUGAAUAAGGACCGGCUAAUUCCGUGCCAGCAGCCGCGGUAAUACGGAAGGUCCGGGCGUUAUCCGGAUUUAUUGGGUUUAAAGGGAGCGUAGGCGGAGCGUCAAGCCAGCAGUGAAAUGUAGCGGCCCAACCGCUGCACUGCUGUUGGAACUGGCGCCCUUGAGUGCACACGAGGCAUGCGGAAUUUGUGGUGUAGCGGUGAAAUGCUUAGAUAUCACGAAGAACUCCGAUUGCGAAGGCAGCGUGCCGGAGUGCAACUGACGCUGAAGCUCGAAAGUGCGGGUAUCGAACAGGAUUAGAUACCCCGGUAGUCC
rnacentral:rRNA from 1 species